rnacentral:misc_RNA from 1 species
AAGAAAAGAAAGAAAGAAAAAAAAUAUAAAUAAAAAGGAAGAUCAGUCUAGAUUCUGCAAUAUCAACAGUGCUUAAAUUUUGACUGUUAUUUCCAUGAUAGUUGACAUGCAUUCUUGAUUAUGUGUUUGAUAUAAGUUUAGACAUGUGUCUAGCUUGAAAAGAGCAAUGGUCCUUGACAUUUAUUGGAUGCUGUUCCUGUUUCAAUUCUCAAAUCAAAAUGUGAUGAGGCCUCUGGCUGUAAUCAUUUCCUUUAAUCUUUACUAUCUCAUCCUUUUGACAUCUCUUGUGAGAGCAUUGUUUAAAAUCAAUAUGGACAAUCCCACUUCUGAGUUCUGACAGUCUGUUCUAGGUCCGUUUCAGAACUGGAACUAGUUUGCUUUCUCUCUCCUCUUGAACUGGACCGGAAUCGACUAGUCCGGUUUAGGCCAAGCCAGCUUUUAUUAUUAUUAUUAUAAAAUUUAAAAAAAUCAACCAUUGGAU